rnacentral:piRNA from 1 species
UGCAGUCACAAGAGGAUUCAC